rnacentral:rRNA from 1 species
GACGAACGCUGGCGGCGCGCUUAACACAUGCAAGUCGAACGGAAAGGCCUGCUUUCCCUUGUGGAUUGCGGGUACUCGAGUGGCGAACGGGUGAGUAACACGUGAGUGAUCUGCCCCCAACUUGGGUAUAAGCCUGGGAAACUGGGUCUAAUUCCCGAUAGGACUGCAGGGUGGUGCCUGUGGUGGAAAACGAUUUUCUAGUGGUUGGGGAUGAGCUCGCGGCCUAUCAGCUUGUUGGUGGGGUAAUGGCCUACCAAGGCGGCGACGGGUAGCCGGCCUGAGAGGGUGGACGGCCACAUUGGGACUGAGAUACGGCCCAGACACCUACGGGAGGCAGCAGUGGGGAAUAUUGCACAAUGGGCGGAAGCCUGAUGCAGCGACGCCGCGUGGGGGAUGACGGCCUUCGGGUUGUAAACUCCUUUCGACCGCGAGGAAGCCACCUGGUUGGAAGGGUGGUGACGGUAGUGGUAGAAGAAGCACCGGCUAACUACGU